CCUACGGGGAGCAGCAGUGGGGAAUAUUGGACAAUGGGCGAAAGCCUGAUCCAGCCAUGCCGCGUGUGUGAAGAAGGCCUUCGGGUUGUAAAGCACUUUCAGUGGGGAAGAAAGCCUUGGGGCUAAUACCCUCGAGGAAGGACAUCACCCACAGAAGAAGCACCGGCUAACUCCGUGCCAGCAGCCGCGGUAAUACGGAGGGUGCGAGCGUUAAUCGGAAUUACUGGGCGUAAAGCGCGCGUAGGCGGUCUGAUAAGCCGGUUGUGAAAGCCCCGGGCUCAACCUGGGAACGGCAUCCGGAACUGUCAGGCUAGAGUGCAGGAGAGGAAGGUAGAAUUCCCGGUGUAGCGGUGAAAUGCGUAGAGAUCGGGAGGAAUACCAGUUGCGAAGGCGGCCUUCUGGACUGACACUGACGCUGAGGUGCGAAAGCGUGGGUAGCAAACAGGAUUAGAUAUCCCUGUAGUC
rnacentral:rRNA from 1 species